rnacentral:rRNA from 1 species
AGAGGGUGCAAGCGUUAAUCGGAUUUACUGGGCGUAAAGCGUGCGUAGGCGGUUCAUUAAGUCGGUUGUGAAAUCCCUGGGCUUAACCUGGGAACUGCAGUCGAUACUGGUGGACUAGAAUGCGGUAGAGGGUGGCGGAACUCCGGGUGUAGCGGUGAAAUGCGUAGAUAUCCGGAAGAACACCGAUGGCGAAGGCAACCACCUGGGCCUGCAUUGACGCUGAGGUACGAAAGCGUGGGGAGCAAACAGGAUUAGAUACCCUGGUAGUCCACGCUGUAAACGAUGAGAACUUGACGUUGGUUCGCCUAGCGAAUCGGUGUCGUAGCUAACGCGAUAAGUUCUCCGCCUGGGGAGUACGGCCGCAAGGUUG